UACGUAGGGUGCGAGCGUUGUCCGGAAUUAUUGGGCGUAAAGAGCUUGUAGGCGGUUUGUCGCGUCUGCUGUGAAAAUCCGGGGCUCAACCCCGGACUUGCAGUGGGUCGGGCAGACUGGAGUGUGGUAGGGGAGACUGGAAUUCCUGGUGUAGCGGUGGAAUGCGCAGAUAUCAGGAGGAACACCAAUGCGAAGGCAGCUCGCUGGAACGUUACUGACGCUGAGACGCGAAAGCGUGGGGAGCAAACAGG
rnacentral:rRNA from 1 species